GUCAGGAUGGCCGAGCGGUCCAAGGCGCUGCGUUCAGGUCGCAGUCCGGUCUUCCGGGCGUGGGUUCGAAUCCCACUUCUGGCA
rnacentral:tRNA from 1 species